rnacentral:rRNA from 1 species
GUCAGAGUUGUAUCCUCGGCUCAGAACGAACGCUGGCGGCAGGCUUAACACAUGCAAGUCGAGCGCACUCUUUUAGAGUGAGCGGCAAACGGGUGAGUAACGCGUGGGAAUCUACCCCUCUCUACGGAAUAACACGGAGAAAUUUGUGCUAAUACCGUAUACGUCCCUUUUGGGAGAAAGAUUUAUCGGAGAUGGAUGAGCCCGCGUUGGAUUAGCUAGUUGGUGGGGUAAUGGCUCACCUAGCGACGAUCCCUAGCUGGUCUGAGAGGAUGACCAGCCACACUGGAACUGAGACACGGUCCAG